rnacentral:lncRNA from 10 species
CUCCAGCAUUUGGAAACAGGCAAAUCACAGUAUCUGCUAUCAAUUUUCUGAUUUGUGAAGCUGGGAAUCAUUUCAUCAAUGUAAUGUUGUCUCAUCCCAAUCACACAGGAAACAAUGCCUGUUUCCCAAGUCCAAAUUAUAACCCCUUCACAUGGAUGUUUUUCCUGGUUUCAUGUCCUAACUACACCUAUGAGAUUGGAUCAUGGAUUAGUUUCACAGUCAUGACACAAACACUGCCAGUUGGAAUUUUUACACUUCUGAUGAGUAUCCAGAUGUCUUUGUGGGCACAAAAGAAACAUAAGAUUUAUCUGAGAAAAUUCAAUUCAUAUAUUCAUAGAAAAUCAGCAAUGAUUCCAUUCAUAUUGUAAAAAAAGAAUCUUAUCUCCUAUAGAAAACAGCAACAUAUAAAUUCAAUAAAUAAGACUUAGUUAAGGAUAGUUAACUAUUAUACUCCAACAAUUCAUGAGCAACAGUAUAUACACUGAGUAAAAAUAUAAAAUAGUAAAAUUUCACUAAAUUUAGAGAAAUGCACAUGGUAAUAAAAAGUAUAAAUUAUAAAUGCAAUUAACUAAGAACAGCUCUGAAUGUAUUUGCAUGGGAUUGGUCCUUGAAUAAAAUUGUCUUACUUCAUUAAUACUUCACAAUACUAUUUGCAUAAGACAAAAUACCACAGCAAAAAAAAAAAUCUGAUUAACAAAUGAAAAAGCGAUCUGAACAGACAUUUCCCAAAGGAAGACAUAUACAUGGUCAAUAAGUAUAUUUUUAAAAUGCUCAACAUUAACUAUUCAUACAGAAAUGCAAAUCAAAACCACAAUGAGAUAUCAUCUCAUCCUAAUUAAGGUGACUAUUUUCAAAAAGACAAAAAAUAUGACAGCCGUGGUGGUUCAUAUCUGUAAUCCUAACACUUUGACAGGCCAAGGCAGGGGAAUUGCUUGAGUUCAGAAGUUUGAGAUCUGGGCAACAUAUUGAGACUCUGUCUCUAAAAAGCAUAUUGAGACUCUGUCUCUACAAAAAAAUUUUAAAAAGUAAAAAUUAGCUGGGCGUGGUGGCACAUGCCAGUAGGUAGUCCCAGCUACUCGAGGUUGCUCCAGCUCAGGCGUUCAAGGCUACAGAGAGCCAUGAUUAAACCAAGGCACUCCAGCCUGGGUGACAGAGUGAGACUGUCUCAAAAUAAAAUAAAAAUAACAUAUUGGUGAAGAUGCGGG